UACAGAGGUCUCAAGCGUUGUUCGGAUUCAUUGGGCGUAAAGGGUGUGUAGGUGGCGCCGUAAGUCGGGUGUGAAAUUUCGGAGCUUAACUCCGAAACUGCAUUCGAUACUGCCGUGCUUGAGGAGCUGGAGAGGAGACUGGAAUUUACGGUGUAGCGGUGAAAUGCGUAGAUAUCGUAAGGAAGACCAGUGGCGAAGGCGGGUCUCUGGACAGUUCCUGACGCUGAGGCACGAAGGUCAGGGGAGCAAACGGG
rnacentral:rRNA from 1 species